GCUGGGUAGCUAUGUGUGGCAGGGAUAAACGCUGAAAGCAUCUAAGCGUGAAGCCCCCCUCAAGAUGAGAUUUCCCAUUUCUUCGGAAAGUAAGAUCCCUGAAAGAUGAUCAGGUAGAUAGGUUUGGAGUGGAAGUGUAGCGAUACAUGGAGCGGACAAAUACUAAUCGAUCGAGGACUUAACCAAAA
rnacentral:rRNA from 1 species